rnacentral:rRNA from 1 species
GACGAACGCUGGCGGCGUGCUUAACACAUGCAAGUCGAACGGAAAGGCCCUGCUUUUGUGGGGUGCUCGAGUGGCGAACGGGUGAGUAACACGUGAGUAACCUGCCCUUGACUUUGGGAUAACUUCAGGAAACUGGGGCUAAUACCGGAUAGGAGCUCCUGCUGCAUGGUGGGGGUUGGAAAGUUUCGGCGGUUGGGGAUGGACUCGCGGCUUAUCAGCUUGUUGGUGGGGUAGUGGCUUACCAAGGCUUUGACGGGUAGCCGGCCUGAGAGGGUGACCGGCCACAUUGGGACUGAGCUACGGCCCAGACUACUACGGGAGGCAGCAGUGGGGAAUAUUGCACAAUGGGAGGAAGCCUGAUGCAGCAACGCCGCGUGCGGGAUGACGGCCUUCGGGUUGUAAACCGCUUUCGCCUGUGACGAAGCGUGAGUGACGGUAAUGGGUAAAGAAGCACCGGCUAACUACGUG